CCGGCACGGGUGAGUAACACGUAUCCAACCUGCCGUCUACUCUUGGACAGCCUUCUGAAAGGAAGAUUAAUACAAGAUGGCAUCAUGAGUCCGCAUGUUCACAUGAUUAAAGGUAUUCCGGUAGACGAUGGGGAUGCGUUCCAUUAGGUAGUAGGCGGGGUAACGGCCCACCUAGUCUUCGAUGGAUAGGGGUUCUGAGAGGAAGGUCCCCCACAUUGGAACUGAGACACGGUCCAA
rnacentral:rRNA from 1 species